rnacentral:rRNA from 1 species
CAGAGGGUGCGAGCGUUGUCCGGAAUCACUGGGCGUAAAGGGCGCGUAGGUGGCGGCAUAAGGCUGUGGUGAAAGUCUGGGGCUCAACUCCAGAUCGGCCGCGGCGACUGUGUCGCUUGGGCACCGUAGAGGCAGAUGGAAUUCCGGGUGUAGCGGUGGAAUGCGUAGAGAUCCGGAAGAACACCAGUGGCGAAGGCGGUCUGCUGGGCGGUGAGCUCGCGAGAGCUCAAUAGCCGACACUGAGGCGCGACAGCGUGGGGAGCAAACAGGAUUAGAUACCCUGGUAGUCCACGCCGUAAACGAUGGGCACUAGGUGCUCCGGGGAGCGACCCUUGGAGUACCGGCGCUAACGCAUGAAGUGCCCCGCCUGGGGAGUACGGCCGCAAGGCUG